rnacentral:rRNA from 1 species
GACGAACGCUGGCGGCGUGCUUAACACAUGCAAGUCGAACGGAAAGGCCUGCUUUCCCUUGUGGAUUGCGGGUACUCGAGUGGCGAACGGGUGAGUAACACGUGAGUGAUCUGCCCCCAACUUGGGUAUAAGCCUGGGAAACUGGGUCUAAUUCCCGAUAGGACUGCAGGGUGGUGCCUAUGGUGGAAAACGAUUUUCUAGUGGUUGGGGAUGAGCUCGCGGCCUAUCAGCUUGUUGGUGGGGUAAUGGCCUACCAAGGCGGCGACGGGUAGCCGGCCUGAGAGGGUGGACGGCCACAUUGGGACUGAGAUACGGCCCAGACUCCUACGGGAGGCAGCAGUGGGGAAUAUUACACAAUGGGCGGAAGCCCGAUGCAGCGACGCCGCGUGGGGGAUGACGGCCUUCGGGUUGUAAACUCCUUUCGACCGCGAGGAAGCCACCUGGUUGGAAGGGUGGUGACGGUAGUGGUAGAAGAAGCACCGGCUAACUACGUG